rnacentral:rRNA from 1 species
UACGUAGGGUGCAAGCGUUGUCCGGAAUUAUUGGGCGUAAAGAGCUCGUAGGCGGUUCGUCGCGUCGGCUGUGAAAUCCCGAGGCUCAACCUCGGGUCUGCAGUCGAUACGGGCGGACUGGAGUUCGGCAGGGGAGACUGGAAUUCCUGGUGUAGCGGUGAAAUGCGCAGAGAUCAGGAAGAACACCCGUGGCGAAGGCGGCACUCUGGGCCUGUACUGACGCUGAGACGCGAAAGCGCGGGGAGCGAACGGG